AAGGGAGCGUAGGCGGCUGAUUAAGUCAGCGGUGAAAGGUAGCAGCUUAACUGUUUUACAUGCCGUUGAUACUGGUUAGCUUGAGUUGACAGAAGGCAGAUAGAAUUCCUGGUGUGGCGGUGAAAUGCUUAGAUACCAGGAGGAAUACCGAUUGCGAAGGCAGCUUACUAUGGUCUUAUUGACGCUGAGGCACGAAAGCGUGGGGAUCAAACAGGAUUAGAUACCCGAGU
rnacentral:rRNA from 1 species